GAUGAACGCUGGCGGCGUGCCUAAUACAUGCAAGUCGAGCGAACAGACAAGGAGCUUGCUCCUUUGACGUUAGCGGCGGACGGGUGAGUAACACGUGGGUAACCUACCUAUAAGACUGGAAUAACUCCGGGAAACCGGGGCUAAUGCCGGAUAACAUUUAGAACCGCAUGGUUCUAAAGUGAAAGAUGGUUUUGCUAUCACUUAUAGAUGGACCCGCGCCGUAUUAGCUAGUUGGUAAGGUAACGGCUUACCAAGGCAACGAUACGUAGCCGACCUGAGAGGGUGAUCGGCCACACUGGAACUGAGACACGGUCCAGACUCCUACGGGAGGCAGCAGUAGGGAAUCUUCCGCAAUGGGCGAAAGCCUGACGGAGCAACGCCGCGUGAGUGAUGAAGGUCUUCGGAUCGUAAAACUCUGUUAUUAGGGAAGAACAAAUGUGUAAGUAACUGUGCACGUCUUGACGGUACCUAAUCAGAAAGCCACGGCUAACUACGUG
rnacentral:rRNA from 1 species